UACGUAGGGGGCAAGCGUUGUCCGGAAUCAUUGGGCGUAAAGAGCGUGUAGGCGGCCCGGUAAGUCCGCUGUGAAAGUCCAGGGCUCAACCCUGGGAUGCCGGUGGAUACUGUCGGGCUCGAGUCCGGAAGAGGAGUGUGGAAUUCCUGGUGUAGCGGUGAAAUGCGCAGAUAUCAGGAGGAACACCAAUGGCGGAGGCAGCACUCUGGGACGUGACUGACGCUGAGACGCGAGAGCGUGGGGAGCAAACAGG
rnacentral:rRNA from 1 species